GACGAACGCUGGCGGCGUGCUUAACACAUGCAAGUCGAACGAAGUGGCGAACGGGUGAGUAACGCGUAAUCAACCUGCCCUUCAGUGGGGGACAACAGUUGGAAACGACUGCUAAUACCGCCUACUGACGUCGGUGAUUGGGUCUGAUUAGAUAGUUGGAGGGGUAACGGCCCACCAAGGCGAUGAUCAGUAGACGGUCUGAGAGGAUGAACGGCCACAUUGGGACUGAGACACGGCCCAGACUCCGACGGGAGGCAGCAGUGGGGAAUCUUCCGCAAUGGACGAAAGUCUGACGGAGCAACGCCGCGUGAGUGAUGACGGCUUUCGGGUUGUAAAGCUCUGUUAAUCGGGACGCGGUACCGGAAUAGAAAGCCACGGCUAACUACGUGCCAGCAGCCGCGGUAAUUC
rnacentral:rRNA from 1 species